GACGAACGCUGGCGGCGUGCUUAACACAUGCAAGUCGAACGAAAAUACCAAGCUUGCUUGGUUGAUUAGUGGCGAACGGGUGAGUAACACGUGAGUAACCUGCCCCUUACUUUCCUGGAUAACUGCUCGAAAGGGUAGCUAAUACGGGAUAUUCUGACCAGCCUGCAUGGGUUGGUUUGGAAAGGUUGUUUUUCUGGUAAGGGAUGGGCUCGCGGCCUAUCAGCUUGUUGGUGGGGUGAUGGCCUACCAAGGCUUUGACGGGUAGCCGGCCUGAGAGGGUGGACGGUCACACUGGGACUGAGAUACGGCCCAGACUCCUACGGGAGGCAGCAGUGGGGAAUAUUGCACAAUGGGCGCAAGCCUGAUGCAGCGACGCCGCGUGAGGGAUGAAGGCCUUCGGGUUGUAAACCUCUUUCGUCAGGAAACAAGGCACUGCUUUUUUGGUGGUGUUGAGGGUACCUGGAUAAGAAGCGCCGGCUAACUACGUG
rnacentral:rRNA from 1 species